GCUGUACUUAGCCCGCCAAACAACCAUAAAUAUAACCACGCAUAACACCCAAAACAAAACAUUUACCACCCAUAAUAGUAUAGGAGAUAGAAAUUAUCAUAGGCGCUAUAGAGACAGUACCGCAAGGGAAAAAUGAAAGAAAAUACUAAAGCAAUAAAUAGCAAAGAUUACACCUUGUACCUUUUGCAUAAUGAUUUAACUAGACUAAUCUUAGCAAAGAGAACUUAAGUUAACAUCCCCGAAACCAGACGAGCUAUUCACGAGCAGCUUCACAGAGCAAACUCGUCUAUGUGGCAAAAUAGUGAGAAGACUCAUGAAUAGAGGUGAAAAGCCUACCGAGCCUGGUGAUAGCUGGUUGUCCAAUAUAGAAUUUUAGUUCAAACUUAAGCCUACCUACAAACACUCCAAUUCCACUGUAGACUUAAGAGAUAGUCUAAAGGGGGACAGCCCUUUAGACAUAGGUUGUAACCUUAGCUAGAGAGUAAGUACAAAAACAUUUCAUAGUGGGCCUAAAAGCAGCCAUCAAUAAAGAAAGCGUUCAAGCUCAACAACCAAACUACCUUAAUCCCUACGAUCACUACCAACUCCUAACAUAAAAUAUUGGACCAUUCUAUAACCGUAUAGAAGAAACACUGUUAAUAUGAGUAACAAGAACACAAUUCUCCCCGCACAAGUGUAUAUCAGAACGAAUACCCACUGAUAGUUAACGAACAUUAAAGCCAAAUUAACCAACAAGCCCCCUUACCCAGGCCAUCGUUAACCCAACACAGGAGUGCCUCAAGGAAAGAUUAAAAGGAGUAAAAGGAACUCGGCAAACACAAACCCCGCCUGUUUACCAAAAACAUCACCUCUAGCAUCCCCAGUAUUAGAGGCACUGCCUGCCCAGUGACAUACGUUCAACGGCCGCGGUAUCCUGACCGUGCAAAGGUAGCAUAAUCACUUGUUCUCUAACUAAGGACUUGUAUGAACGGCCCCACGAGGGUUUUACUGUCUCUUACUCCCAAUCAGUGAAAUUGACCUCCCCGUGAAGAGGCGGGGAUACUAAAACAAGACGAGAAGACCCUAUGGAGCUUCAAUUAAUUAGCUUAAGACAAAACACAAAACAACCCCAAAAGGAAUAAAAAACUUCUCACUAAGCUAACAAUUUAGGUUGGGGUGACCUCGGAGCACAAAACACCCUCCGAGCAAUUUAAGCUUAGACCCACUAGUCAAAGCACCACCACUCACUGAUCCAAUUAUUAAUUGAUCAACGGAACAAGUUACCCUAGGGAUAACAGCGCAAUCCUAUUCAAGAGUUCCUAUCGACAAUAGGGUUUACGACCUCGAUGUUGGAUCAGGACAUCCCAAUGGUGCAGCAGCUAUUAAUGGUUCGUUUGUUCAACGAUUAAAGUCCUACGUGAUCUGAGUUCAGACCGGAGUAAUCCAGGUCGGUUUCUAUCUAUUCUACGCUCCUCCCAGUACGAAAGGACAAGAGAAGCGGGGCCCCCUUAAACCCUAAGCGCCCCCCAACAAAACAGAUGAUAUAAUCUCAAUCUACUAUGUAGCAACCAACAAUGCCCUAGACCAGGGCCCA
rnacentral:rRNA from 1 species